CCCGCACCGGCGGUUGCCUGCGAGGCCGCACCCAUCAGCGCCUGAAGGGAGUUUUCAGCGAGAAUGAAAAUCGCCGCGCCGAUGAUCGCGCCGUACAUCGUCCCCAUGCCGCCGAUCACCACCAUCAGCAGAAUGUCGAUCAUGAUCGUGAAGGAGAGCGUCUCCGGUCCGGCAUAGCGCAGCCACAACGCAUUCAGCACGCCGGCGCACGCGGCGACCAGAGCGGCAAUCACGUUGGCCCAGGUCAGGUGAAACACGGUGCGAUAGCCGAGCGCCUCGGC
rnacentral:misc_RNA from 1 species